GCAGGAUCGCUCUGACCUGCAGCAACGCCAGACGAUCACUGUGGAGAAAAAAAGAGCGGAUUGAGGGAUAAAGUCAUAGGUCAUGCAACAGCAGUAGAGUCACUGGAUACAUCUCAGCUGUUCCCAGAGGAUAAGAAAACCCUACUGUUCCAUCACAUCCUGUGACCGUCUGACAGUAUAACCUGAGAUGGAGUAAUGUAGAACAUACUGCAUCCAGGCUGGUCUGGUGACAGGGGAAGGAGAAGGUGAAACCCAGCGGCAGUCGAGCACUUUUCAUUCCCAUGUAGUCCAAGAAAUCAGAGAUGCAGUG